AUCUUCAGUUGACAGAACAUUAAGCAGUCAUUUAAAAUGUUUAUUUAAGCCUUUUGUGGCCAUCACCGAAGCAGCAGAGGCCAAAAUGAAGUUUAAUCCCUUUGUGACUUCUGACCAAAGCAAGAAUCGCAAAAGGCAUUUCAAUGCACCUUCCCACAUUCGCAGGAAGAUUAUGUCUUACCCUCUUUCCAAACAGCUGAGACAAGUACAAUGUGUGAUCCAUGCCCAUCCAAAAGGAUGAUGUUCAGGUUGUACGAGGACACUAUAAAGGUCAGCAAAUUGGCAAAGUAGUGCAGGUUUACAGGAAGAAAUAUGUUAUCUACAUUGAACGGGUGCAGCGGGAAAAGGCUAAUGGCACAACUGUCCACGUAGGCAUUCACCCCAGCAAGGCGGUUAUCACUAGGCUAAAACUGGACAAAGACCGCAAAAAGAUCCUUGAACAGAAAGCCAAAUCUCGCCAAGUAGGAAAGGAAAAGGACAAAUACAAGGAAGAAACAAUUGAGAAGAUGCAGGAAUAAAGUAAUCUUAUGUAAAAGCUUUGAUUAAAACUUGAAACAAAAAAAAAGUUUACUUAAACAUAUGGAAUAUAGCCAAUAAUAUAUGGAAUAAUAUGGGAAAAGGUAAUAAUGUGGGAAAUGCUGCUGAGUACAUUUCAAGUAAAAAAAAUAGGACAAAAUUUGGUUUAGGCUAAGAGCUUUCUCUAAUCAGAAGUGAUACAGAGCCUUCCUGGUCCUCCCUUCCUUUUACAAUAGCCAAUAAAAAGCCUAUCCUUAGGUGGUGGGAUUGUGACAACAUCAACAAUCCAGACAAUCUUCCUAAGGAUUAUUUGCAUAGUUUACUACUCCUAACCCAACAGAACUCAAUUUCUUUUAAGGAGUGCAUUGAGUGGAAGUGGUCAUCUCCAACAAAAAGGGAAGAGAAUUACAUUAACAAAAGAGUAUGUGCAAUGAUAUUGGUAUCAAAAUUCAGAAACUAGCCGGGCGAGGUGGCGGGCGCCUGUAGUCCCAGCUACUCGGGAGGCUGA